rnacentral:tRNA from 1 species
GGUGGGUUGGCUCAGUGGUUAGAGCGUAGGUCUCGUAACCGAAUGGUUGCGGGAUCGAAUCCCGAAUUUAUUC